CCCUUAGAUGUUCUGGGCCGCACGCGUGCUACACUGACCGGUGCAACAAGUUUCUUUCCUUGGCUCGAUAGGCCUGGGUAAUCUUUGAACACCGGUCGUGAUGGGGAUAGAUCCUUGCAAUUUUUGAUCUUCAACGAGGAAUUCCUAGUAAAUGCGAGUCAUCAUCUCGCGUUGAUUACGUCCCUGCCCUUUGUACACACCGCCCGUCGCACCUACCGAUUGAAUGGUCCGGUGAAGCCUCCGGAUUGCGCGGCUUCGGCGGUCGCGAGAAGUUGGCUAAACCUUACCAUUUAGAGGAAGGUGAAGUCGUAACA
rnacentral:rRNA from 1 species